AUGAGACUUACAAAUUUCAUCCAUUAAGACCAAAUUUCAUGAGAAAUUAUGACUAGGUUAAUGAAGGAUGAAAUAUUAUCAAAUCUCAUUCUUAGUGACUUAUGAGCAUGUGUUAUAAGCCUUAAUAUUUAAAUGGCUAAGGGAAUAAAUUAAGUUCCAUUAGAAGUUAUAUUUCAUUGGAACUUAUCCCAAAAUGGAAUAUUCAGACAUAAUUCAUUUAUCAUAAUAUUUACUUGUAUUGUCUUAUAUGAAUUAAGGUAUUAAAGAAAUUAAUUCAUAUAUACUAUGAUUCCUUCUAAAUAUGUCCCCAAAAUUUUUAUAACAUAUGGACAUUAAGGAAAUCAAGUCUAACAUAUAUGACAUGUUCCCACAGCACAUACAUCAUUGAAACUUAUCUUGUAGCAUUCCUACAGAUCUAAAAGGUUAGUGGGAGUAUUAAGUGUCUUAAUCUUAAUUUGCGAGAGUUGCAAGAGGUGGGGGAAGAAACUACAAUGAACCUAUUAAAUUUUACUCCGAUUACACCUCUUGCGCACACUUAGAAUUUUGAAAGUGAUAGCAACUUAGGCAAGAGUUAAUCCAUAAAACUGAAACUCUUAAUA
rnacentral:lncRNA from 1 species